rnacentral:rRNA from 1 species
GACGAACGCUGGCGGCGUGCCUAACACAUGCAAGUCGAGCGGAGAUACAUUGAAGAGCAAUCAGAUAUGUAUCUUAGCGGCGGACGGGUGAGUAACGCGUGGGCAACCUGCCUCAUACUGGGGGAUAACACAGGGAAACUUGUGCUAAUACCGCAUAAUAUCAUUAUAGGGCAUCCUGUGAUGAUCAAAGGAGCGAUCCGGUGUGAGAUGGGCCCGCGUCCAAUUAGCUAGUUGGUGGGUAACGGCCACCAAGGCGACGAUUGGUAGCCGAACUGAGAGGUUGAUCGGCCACAUUGGGACUGAGACACGGCCCAGACUCCUACGGGAGGCAGCAGUGGGGAAUAUUGCGCAAUGGGGGAAACCCUGACGCAGCAACGCCGCGUGAAGGAUGAAGGUCUUCGGAUUGUAAACUUCUUUGAUGAGGGACGAACACAAUGACGGUACCUCAAAACAAGCCACGGCUAACUACGUGCCAGCAGCCG